CUAAAAUUAAGGGUUUUAUCGUAUUUUUACCUCCACAUCCUCCACUAUAAAUAGGAGUCUCUAGUGAAGGGAAAAUCACAACUCAGAGCUCUCCAAAUUUUUGUUCGCGCACGGAAAGGUUAGAUCGAACGUACUCGAUCUCGCGUGGAAAGCGUAGCCAAGAUGGUGAUCCGGAAGGAGCUAGUGGAUCAGGACUGGGAGAUUUAUCUCCAUAGUUUUGAUGAGGACACGGCCUGGGGUGUCGACUACCGCCAGGAGAAGAACGUGUACGUCGGCGGCGCGACCAUCUUCAAAAGAGACCAAGCUGGGCAGAUUGUUGAGACUCAGCCUAUCAGAGGGAAGAUUCGGUUUCCUCACGCACCCUUCCGUUUUGGACUCCCCUUAGGGAUGGAUUUUCUCAGCGGUUCGGAGUCGGACCCUAGUGAGGGGCCAGGCUACGAGUCAGGCGAGGGGAGCGAGCCUUCAGUGACUUCCGAGUACCGGAAUCCGACAGAGGGACUUUUGGUGCCGAAGGAGGAGCCGGUGAGCCCCAUUGCACCACCCGAGCAAGAGCUGAAUCAGGGACUCAUGGAUCCCGUACCAUUAGGGUUUGGGUGGAGCUUGGAGGCAUUGAGGCAGUGGAAACUGGACAUGAA